UUACAUAGACCCUUUAAAUAGAUUAAUUAUUAAAGAAAACAUUAAAAUAAAAAAACUCAAAUUUUCUGCGGUUAUACAUAACUACGGGAACGCCGAACAUACUCAUUUGAACCAUGGCUUUACCCGCCAAAAGAAUCCCAAUGCCUGAAUUACUGCUGCCUUAGAGAAUACUCAUUAGCAGCAAACCUAGUGGGGCGGCUUAAAUAUCUCCGUAACACGCCGUGUGGUUGUGCUAUCUCUAGUAACGCACUUUCGGUUUGCAUUAAGGUUAAAAACUUAGCAGUGGAAAUAUCAGUACGAGAUCAUAAUGUACAUGUACACCUAGUGCUUGGGAGAUGGGUAAAUAAAAUAAAAUGGUUCGCCGGAUGUCUUAUAAGUUAAUAGUAUUUCUUGGGGUCAACAAAUUGUAAAGAGGGAUUCCUUCAGUAUAGGACCACAAUGGACAACAGCAAAUGCCCUUAACAAUGGUCUAUUGUCAUGUUAAAUACACCCCUCCACUAUUGAAUGUUAGCCAAAAAGAAAUCGGACCAACUCGCGUAACACUAUUGGUCUUCUUGGAUAAGGAUAGGGUUUACAUAAUAUGAUCAUUUUCUUGGAGAUGGGAUCUCUUAAAUCGUUUGGUGUUUUAUUCAUCCCCAUGAUGGAUUCUCUUGAGUGCAGCGCAGCUGAACUGGGGACUGUAAUCGGCAUGUCAAAUAGUAUUGGUGUUAUCAUUGCACCGAUCACUGGGAAUCUUGCAAAGCGAUAUGGCAGCCGGGUGUGUGUAAUGACUGGAGGGACCUUGCUUUUUGUUGGAUACCUUGCCAGUGCGUUCACUUGGAACAUCUUCCAGUUAACAAUCACAUUGGGAAUAACAACAGGGCUACAAUAUCAACAGUGCAUUUUGGUUCUUUGUGCUUCAGUGUGUUAUAUAAACUCAGCUGUAUUGCACAUGGAUUCAUUUGCCCAAGAUAAUUAUGUGGUCCUGAUGUUUUUGGCUUGUGUCAACGGUAGCGCCAUUGGACUUCUAAACAUUCUAAUGGCGUUAGUGGUGAAAUAAAUGUACGACGAAAGUAUUCUCGUUGAUUCUUAUAUUUUAGGUAACUGCCUCUACGGGCUCGGAGAAAUCAGCGGAAGUAUUGCAGCAGGGUUGUUUUACGACCUCACACGAAGUUACGACCUAGCCUUCGUCGGGCUUGGAAUCGUCAACGUUGUAAUGAUGGUGCUGAUGCUGAUGGACGGCGUUAUCAGCGAUGUUGUAUCCACCAUUGAUUACCAAUUGCUCAUAAUGCUUUCUGCCUUCACUAAGGUUUGCUUUGAGAGUUUUUAAGUCACAAAUUUGGUUCCCGGUGCUUGAACUUAGUCAUUGUUAUUGUUGUAUUCCACGUCGUUGACUGCAAUAUUUUGUACACGCCAAUAAAAGCCAAAACUUUGUUGUAUCACGUGCUUGUUUAAAUAGCCUAUCCGGAAACCCUACGCCGUAACCUCCUCGAGGACGAAACACUUCUCAAAGAAUGUCGUUCAACAAAAUCAAACAAUAGACCUACGAGAUUAUUACAAGCGAAAAUAGACUUAGUAUGUGGUUAUUAAACCCUUUUACUAUUGUUCUUGUAUAGGCCGCUUUCGAAACCACUGCUUCGGCUUUGGAUUCGGCCUCAGGCUCCGUUUUCUGGUCUGAAUCACGCGCAAUUAUUUUCAAAACAACCGCAGGCCAAAGCUAGCCUGAUGAGCCGAAUCAAAAGCAGAAGCCAUUGGUUCGAAAAGGGCCAAAGUGUAAUUCUUCCAGUAUAUGUCCCCCUAUCUUUCUCUUGGGUACUUUAUUUUGUUCCUUCUAUGUAGGCCUACUU